rnacentral:rRNA from 1 species
GUGUCAGCCGCCGCGGUAAUACCAGCUCUCCGAGUUGUGGGGACGUUUAUUGAGCCUGAAGCAUCCGUAGCCGGCUGUGCAAGUCCCCUGUUAAAUCCAGCGACUAAUCGUUGGCCUGCGGGGGAUACUGCUCGGCUAGGGGGCGGGAGAGGCCGUCGGUAUUCUUGGGGUAGGGGUGAAAUCCUAUAAUCCCAGGAGGACCACCAGUGGCGAAGGCUGUCGGCUAGAACGCGCCCGACGGUGAGGGAUGAAAGCUGGGGGAGCGAACCGGAUUAGAUACCCGGGUAGUCCCAGCUGUAAACGAUGCAGGCUAGGUGUUAGGGCGGCUACGUGCCGCUCUAGUGCCGCAGGGAAGCUGUUAAGCCUGCCGCUUGGGGAGUACGGCCGCAAGGCUGAAACUCAAAUGAAUUGACGGGG